rnacentral:misc_RNA from 1 species
GAUGAAGAACGCAGCGAAAUGCGAUAAGUAGUGUGAAUUGCAGAAUUCAGUGAAUCAUCGAAUCUUUGAACGCACAAUGCGCCCCUUGGUAUUCCAUGGGGCAUGCCUGUUCGAGCGUCAUUUGUACCUUCAAGCUUUGCUUGGUGUUGGGUGUUUGUCUCGCCUUUGCGUGUAGACUCGCCUUAAAAUAAUUGGCAGCCGGCGUAUUGAUUUCGGAGCGCAGUACAUCUCGCGCUUUGCACUCAUAACGACAGCGUCCAAAAGUACAUUUUACACUCUUGACCUCGGAUCAGGUAGGGAUACCCGCUGAACUUAAGCAUAUCAAUAAGCGGAGGA